rnacentral:tRNA from 1 species
GGUGGGUUGGCAGAGUGGCUUAAUGCAGCGGUCUUGAAAACCGCCGUACGUUAGUAGCGUACCCGGGGUUCGAAUCCCUGACCCACCGCCA